GCGGAUGGAGGGGUUGCCGACCACCAUGAAAUCGGAGAGGAGGUGGAGAUCCAAGCCUCUCCAGACCACCUCUCGCCCGUCCAUCGUCAUGGCCUUCUUCUCCUGCGUCGCCUGGCUCUAUGUCGCCGGCAGGUUGUGGCAAGACGCGGAGAACAGGACAUUGCUGACUAAUCUUCUCAAUAAGAACUUGGACAAGAGGCCAAAAGUACUGUCACUUGAAGACAAAUUGGCAGUCCUGGGGUGCAAAGAUCUGGAGAGAAGAAUCGUUGAAGCUGAGAUGGAAUUAACAUUAGCCAAGAGUCAGGGGUACCUCAAAAACCAGGAUCAGAAAAGCAGCACUUCUUCUGGUCAAAAGCUUCUUGCUGUAAUUGGAGUUUAUACUGGAUUUGGUAGUCGUUUAAAGAGAAAUGUGUUUAGAGGAACAUGGAUGCCUAAAGGCGAUGCAUUGAGAAAGCUUGAGGAAAGAGGAAUUGUUAUACGUUUUGUAAUUGGUCGGAGUGCUAAUCGAGGUGAUAGCCUAGAUCGCAAUAUUGACGAGGAAAAUCGCACGACCAAAGAUUUCUUAAUCCUUGAAGGACAUGAGGAAGCCCAAGAAGAGUUGCCCAAGAAAGCUAAGUUCUUCUUCAGUACUGCAGUUCAAAUGUGGGAUGCAGAGUACUAUGUGAAAGUUGAUGAUAAUAUUGGCCUUGAUUUGGAGGGGUUAAUCGAAAUGCUGGAUCGCCGUCGUGGCCAGGAUGCUGCUUACAUUGGGUGCAUGAAAUCAGGAGACGUGAUUACAGAAGAGGGAAAGCCUUGGUACGAACCUGAUUGGUGGAAGUUCGGAGACGAAAAGUCGUAUUUCCGGCAUGCAUGGGGUUCACUGCUUAUACUUUCAAAAAAUCUGGCACAGUAUAUCAAUGUAAACAGUGCAUCACUGAAGACUUAUGCUCAUGACGAUAUAUCAAUCGGAUCUUGGAUGAUGGGUCUUCAAGCAACAUAUAUAGAUGACGACCGUCUUUGUUGCAGUAGUAUUAGACAAGACAAGGUAUGCUCUGUGGCUUGAAGAUACGAUGAGCUCACUUGGACGGUGUUCUGUUCCUGGCCAACUUGCUCCUGGUUUUGUUCGUUUUGGGAUUCAGUGGUCCGAACACAAACACUGACAUUGAUGUCUCCUCGUCACACGAGGACUAGUGAGCUGCAUAGAUCAUUUUUUUAGUGUAGAUAUAAUCCACACAAGUGUUUUCUGGAGAGCGGAGAACUUAGAUGUCAAUGAGAGCUCAUAUUGAGCAUGAGCAUGAGCAUGAAAUGUGGACUUUUGCAGCCUCGAAAGUGGACAAAGUGGCAUGAUUGGAGUACAAAGCGGACAGAAUCCGACGAGUUUCAAUUGUAGAUGGUAACAUAGUUUGCGAGAGCAAGUCAGAGUUUCGGUAGUAGUCGCGCGGUUGCUCUGGAAGCUUUUUCUUGCACUUUGAUGGAUCUUGUUGGAUGUAGGCUAGGAGUUAUAUCAUGAAUAUCCUCGAGCUUGACAUGACACCAUUUCAUCUUCAAAAUGUGCAACAACCUUGAAGCUUCUGUACC